UACGGGGGGGGCAAGCGUUGUUCGGAAUUACUGGGCGUAAAGGGCUCAUAGGCGGCCAACUAAGUCAGACGUGAAAUCCCUCGGCUUAACCGGGGAACUGCGCAUGAUACUGGAUGGCUUGAGUUUGGGAGAGGGAUGCGGAAUUCCAGGUGUAGCGGUGAAAUGCGUAGAGAUCAGGAGGAACACCCGUGGCGAAGGCGGCCUUCUGGGUCCGCCCUGACGCUGAGGCGCGAAAGCGUGGGGAGCGAACGGG
rnacentral:rRNA from 1 species